GACGAACGCUGGCGGCGUGCCUAAUACAUGCAAGUAGAACGCACAGUUUAUACCGUAGCUUGCUACACCAUAGACUGUGAGUUGCGAACGGGUGAGUAACGCGUAGGUAACCUGCCUGGUAGCGGGGGAUAACUAUUGGAAACGAUAGCUAAUACCGCAUAAUAUUGAUUAUUGCAUGAUAAUUAAUUGAAAGGUGCAAUUGCACCACUACCAGAUGGACCUGCGUUGUAUUAGCUAGUAGGUGAGGUAACGGCUCACCUAGGCGACGAUACAUAGCCGACCUGAGAGGGUGAUCGGCCACACUGGGACUGAGACACGGCCCAGACUCCUACGGGAAGCAGCAGUAGGGAAGCUUCGGCAAUGGACGAAAGUCUGACCGAGCAACGCCGCGAGAGUGAAGAAGGUUUUCGGAUCGUAAAGCUCUGUUGUAAGAGAAGAACGGGUGUGAGAGUGGAAAGUUCACACUGUGACGGUAUCUUACCAGAAAGGGACGGCUAACUACGUG
rnacentral:rRNA from 1 species